GCGGAGGAAAAGAAACUAACAAGGAUUCCCCUAGUAACGGCGAGUGAAGCGGGAAGAGCUCAAAUUUGAAAUCUGGUGGCCUCAGGUCAUCCGAGUUGUAAUCUAUAGAAGUGUUUUCCGUGCUGGCUCAUGUACAAGUCCCUUGGAACAGGGCGUCAUAGAGGGUGAGAAUCCCGUCCUUGACAUGAACUACCAGUGCUCUGUGAUACAUUUUCAACGAGUCGAGUUGUUUGGGAAUGCAGCUCAAAAUGGGUGGUAAAUUCCAUCUAAAGCUAAAUAUUGGCGAGAGACCGAUAGCGAACAAGUACCGUGAGGGAAAGAUGAAAAGCACUUUGGAAAGAGAGUUAAACAGUAUGUGAAAUUGUUGAAAGGGAAACGAUUGAAGUCAGUCGUGCUCUUUGGAUUCAGCCGGUUCUGCCGGUGUACUUCCUUUGAGUGGGGUCAACAUCNGUUUUGAUCGCUGGAUAAAGGCUGGAGGAACGUAGUACCCUCGGGUAAACUUAUAGCCUCCUGUCACAUACAGUGGUUGGGACUGAGGAACGCAGCACGCCUUUAUGGCCGGGAUUCGUCCACGUACGUGCUUAGGAUGUUGACAUAAUGGCUUUAAACGACCCGUCUU
rnacentral:rRNA from 1 species